CAUCUGCGUGAGCAGGGCUGCGUGUCAAGUCUAUGGACUCGACUCUUGCACAUCUACGUCUUAGGUUUGCGCCAAUUCGUGGUAAGCUUGGGUCAUAGAGACUCAUAGGUGUUAUAAAGACUCGCUGGUGUUUGUCUCCUUGAGGCAUACGGCUUUAACCAAAACUCUCAAAGUUUGACCUCAAAUCAGGUAGGAGUACCCGCUGAACUUAAGCAUAUCAAUAAGCGGAGGAAAAGAAACCAACCGGGAUUGCCUUAGUAACGGCGAGUGAAGCGGCAAAAGCUCAAAUUUGAAAUCUGGCGUCUUCGACGUCCGAGUUGUAAUUUGAAGAAGGCGACUUUGUAGCUGGUCCUUGUCUAUGUUCCUUGGAACAGGACGUCAUAGAGGGUGAGAAUCCCGUGUGGCGAGGAUCCCAGUUAUUUGUAAAGUGCUUUCGACGAGUCGAGUUGUUUGGGAAUGCAGCUCUAAGUGGGUGGUAAAUUCCAUCUAAAGCUAAAUAUUGGCGAGAGACCGAUAGCGAACAAGUACAGUGAUGGAAAGAUGAAAAGAACUUUGAAAAGAGAGUGAAAAAGUACGUGAAAUUGUUGAAAGGGAAGGGCAUUUGAUCAGACAUGGCGUUUGCUUCGGCUUUCGCUGGGCCAGCAUCAGUUUUAGCGGUUGGAUAAAUCCUCGGGAAUGUGGCUCUGCUUCGGUAGAGUGUUAUAGCCCGUGGGAAUACAGCCAGCUGGGACUGAGGAUUGCGACUUUUGUCAAGGAUGCUGGCGUAAAUGGUUAAAUGCCGCCCGUCUUGAAACACGGACCAAGGAGUCUAACGUCUAUGCGAGUGUUUGGGUGUAAAACCCGUACGCGUAAUGAAAGUGAACGUAGGUGAGGGCCCGCAAGGGUGCAUCAUCGACCGAUCCUGAUGUCUUCGGAUG
rnacentral:rRNA from 1 species